AAGACCAUGUUAUGCAGUGAUCAGCACGUGCACUUGCAAAGAAAGUAACAUGGAUAGGAUCUUCUGGCUCAACUGCGUGUGGCAGAGAUCGUCAAAUUGUUCGGGGAAGCCCUUAGAGCUCAAGCUACCAACCAUUGGUUGAAAGACCAGUGGGGCCCUUCCUAGGGAUGGUAAUAAUGCUUUGAGAUUGGGUAAUCCGCAGCCAAGCUCCUAAAACUUGCUUAGCAAGUCAUGGAGAAGGUUCAACGACUGUAAGGCGUACCGCGCAAGCGGAAUAUACAGUCUAGCCCCACGGGAAACUGUGCC
rfam:Spizellomyces punctatus DAOM BR117 chromosome Tnknown supercont1.30, whole genome shotgun sequence.